GGUUGCGAUCAAACCAGCACAAAUGCAACGGAUCCCAUCUGAACUCCGCAGUUAAGCGUGCUUGGGCGAUCCUAGUACUAGGAUGGGUAACCCCCCUGGGAAGUCCUCGUGUUGCAACCUCG
rnacentral:rRNA from 1 species